rnacentral:rRNA from 1 species
UACGGAGGAUGCGAGCGUUAUCCGGAUUUAUUGGGUUUAAAGGGUGCGUAGGCGGACUGUCAAGUCAGCGGUAAAAUUGAGAGGCUCAACCUCUUCCCGCCGUUGAAACUGGUGGUCUUGAGUGGAUGAGAAGUACGCGGAAUGCGUGGUGUAGCGGUGAGAUGCAUAGAUAUCACGCAGAACUCCGAUUGCGAAGGCAGCGUACCGGCAUCCAACUGACGCUGAGGCACGAAAGCGUGGGGAGCAAAUAGG